rnacentral:rRNA from 1 species
GACGAACGCUGGCGGCGUGCUUAACACAUGCAAGUCGAACGGAAAGGCCCUGCUUUUGUGGGGUGCUCGAGUGGCGAACGGGUGAGUAACACGUGAGUAACCUGCCCUUGACUUUGGGAUAACUUCAGGAAACUGGGGCUAAUACCGGAUAGGAGCUCCUGCUGCAUGGUGGGGGUUGGAAAGUUUCGGCGGUUGGGGAUGGACUCGCGGCUUAUCAGCUUGUUGGUGGGGUAGUGGCUUACCAAGGCUUUGACGGGUAGCCGGCCUGAGAGGGUGACCGGCCACAUUGGGACUGAGAUACGGCCCAGACUCCUACGGGAGGCAGCAGUGGGGAAUAUUGCACAAUGGGCGGAAGCCUGAUGCAGCGACGCCGCGUGCGGGAUGACGGCCUUCGGGUUGUAAACCGCUUUCGCCUGUGACGAAGCGUGAGUGACGGUAAUGGGUAAAGAAGCACCGGCUAACUACGUGCCAGCAGCCGCGGUGAUACGUAGGGUGCGAGCGUUGUCCGGAUUUAUUGGGCGUAAAGGGCUCGUAGGUGGUUGAUCGCGUCGGAAGUGUAAUCUUGGGGCUUAACCCUGAGCGUGCUUUCGAUACGGGUUGACUUGAGGAAGGUAGGGGAGAAUGGAAUUCCUGGUGGAGCGGUGGAAUGCGCAGAUAUCAGGAGGAACACCAGUGGCGAAGGCGGUUCUCUGGGCCUUUCCUGACGCUGAGGAGCGAAAGCGUGGGGAGCGAACAGGCUUAGAUACCCUGGUAGUCCACGCUGUAAACGGUGGGUACUAGGUGUGGGGUCCAUUCCACGGGUUCCGUGCCGUAGCUAACGCUUUAAGUACCCCGCCUGGGGAGUACGGCCGCAAGGCUAAAACUCAAAGGAAUUGACGGGGCCCCGCACAAGCGGCGGAGCAUGCGGAUUAAUUCGAUGCAACGCGUAGAACCUUACCUGGGUUUGACAUGGAUCGGGAGCGCUCAGAGAUGGGUGUGCCUCUUUUGGGGUCGGUUCACAGGUGGUGCAUGGCUGUCGUCAGCUCGUGUCGUGAGAUGUUGGGUUAAGUCCCGCAACGAGCGCAACCCUUGUUCACUGUUGCCAGCACGUUAUGGUGGGGACUCAGUGGAGACCGCCGGGGUCAACUCGGAGGAAGGUGGGGAUGACGUCAAGUCAUCAUGCCCCUUAUGUCCAGGGCUUCACGCAUGCUACAAUGGCUGGUACAGAGAGUGGCGAGCCUGUGAGGGUGAGCGAAUCUCGGAAAGCCGGUCUCAGUUCGGAUUGGGGUCUGCAACUCGGCCUCAUGAAGUCGGAGUCGCUAGUAAUCGCAGAUCAGCAACGCUGCGGUGAAUACGUUCCCGGGGCU